rnacentral:rRNA from 1 species
UACGGAGGAUCCGAGCGUUAUCCGGAUUUAUUGGGUUUAAAGGGUGCGCAGGCGGAAGAUUAAGUCGGUGGUGAAAUUUUGCAGCUCAACUGUAAAAGUGCCAUUGAUACUGGUUUUCUUGAGUGUGGAUGAAGUAGGCGGAAUUUGUGGUGUAGCGGUGAAAUGCAUAGAUAUCACGAGGAACUCCGAUUGCGCAGGCAGCUUACUAAACCACUACUGACGCUCAUGCACGAAGGCGUGGGGAUCAAACAGGAUUAGAUA